AAAAAAUUAGCAUAAAAGAUUACAACAUUAUAUGAAAUUAUCACUUAAUAGCGUUGAUUAAAUGUUUUAUUAAUGUAAUUGUAAAAUUAAUUUAUUUUAGUUAGAAAAUGAUUGGUCCACAAUACUCUUGUGUUCUCAUUCUUUUUUACGUUUUCAACUAGGAGUAUGUUAGCAGAGUAAAUUAUAUGGUUAAAAGUUUUGAGAAAUCACAUGGAGAUUAAGGGGGUGUUUGGCUUAAUUUUUAAAAGCUCAAAAGAUCUUUUCCAAAAAGUUACAAAAAGUCAGGAUUUCCUGACUUUUCCAAAAAGAUACUUUUUCUUGUAUUAAAACUCCAAAAGUUCUUAGUUUGCCAAACAUCUUUUUGUUUUUUUUCUUUUAAAAAAAAGACUUUUGGCUGUAAAAAGCUAAGCCAAACACCCCCUAAAACUUUAGAUCCAAUCUAAACUUCUCACCCAAAACUCACACACAAUAAUAUAAUUAUAUUUUUGAAAUAAAGUAUAUAUAAACAGUCAAUUAAUAAACACAAUUAUAUAAAUACAUCAAAACUAAAAAAUAAAAAAACAUACUUUUCAUAUAACAUUAAUAUUUCCUUUUAUAAAUGAAUUGUUUUGAAUCAUUUUUUGCUUUUUUGGCUUGAAAUGAUAUAAUUUAUGAUUUCAUGAUUAACACUUUUAAACGAUAAAUAACCAUUAAGUGAGGAUCGAAAAGUCAUAUUAUUAAAAUAAUAAUUCAGUCCAAUAAGCAUAAAUAAAAUUUCAAUGUACUUUAUAAAAUUAUAAAAUAAAUUUUAUACAAAAUUAUAAAUUAAAACCAAAAUCUAUGAUAAAAAUUGAAUUUGUAAAUAUUUAAGAGAAUUUAAUAAAUUAAUGACGUAAUUUACAUUUGUAUAAUAUUAUAUGAAUAUGUUUUUAAUAAUAUUUUAUUUUAAAAUCAGUUCUCUUCCAUGAACUACUUCCCCUUGAAAAUAGUCACAUUUAUAAAUAAUUAUCUUUCUAUUUUCUCAUGUUGGUAAAAAUAAUAAUAAAAUGUUUUCAUGUAGUUAACGAUUAAUAUAUGUAUUUAAUUACAUUAAUAUAUAAUAUAAAUUGAUUAACCGCAUUAUUUCAACUCUUUGAAUUCUACUUAAAAUUUAUUUAACAUUACACCACUCUCAAAAACUUUUUUACUUAUGAUACUUAAGUGCUAGUUAUGAUACUUAGUUAUUUAGCGUUAAAAGAACUACAAUUCAAAAGUUAUGAUACUUAGUUAUUUAUCAUUAAAGAACUACAACUCAAAAGGUUUUUAAAAUAAUGGUAUUUAGGUGUUGUUUGGUAGCCUCUUAAUUGAAAAUUUAAGAGGCAACCUCUCAAAAAUUAAGAUGUAGAGUGUUUGGUUGUAUAUUAUUUUUUUACCUCUUAAUCUGAAAAUGCCUUUUAAUUUUAUAGAGAUAAGUUCAUAUCCAAAAAAAAAAAAGUAACGUGUGUUCCUAUUUUGCCCAAAAUAUAUUCCCUCCCAUCUUUUCUAUUUCACGACACGGCUUCCCCUCCCAGUCAUCUCCGACGACUUGUAACCCUCCACCACUCUUGCAUCGGCCGGUCACCGCCUUCACUAGAACCUCCGCCUCCUCCAACGUCGCUGCCUGCGCCUCCCUAAAGCCUCGUUCUUUUUCGAAUCUGUUUUUCUCACCCUCUACCCUCACCACCAAUAGCCAGAGAAUAGCCGACAACCAUCAUUACCACCGCCAUCUCUGGCAAUCGCCACCUUACCAAUCACCAUUUCCGGCCGUUUCCACCACAGGUUUGUAUUUCUCCCGCUCUGUUUCUCUCGUUUUUUUGCUAAUAGUGUUGAACUUUUUUGAAAUCGAGUUUUUGAAAUUGAGUUUUCUAAAAUUGCAAAUUUUCUACGAUCGGUUUUCUGAAUUGAAAUCGAUUUCCCCAUAACCAUGGGUUCCUAACUCAACCCAAGUAGUUUCAAGAACAUUACAAACUAUUACAGGCUCCCAUUUUGACCAAUGCCACUAUAAUGUUGCUCAACAUCCACAUCACCAUUGUGAUUGUUUGCUUAUUCUACUCUAUUCUUAUCCACAUGCUUGCUAGAAGGUUGAUUCCAUUGUAGCUGCAAGUUUAAGUUUUUUUUUUUAUCAAAGAACACAAAAAUACUUCAUAGUUGAAAGAAAUUUAAUGAACAAUUGGUUUAUGGUGAUAUAACUUUGAAUAAAUAGUCCAUUGUAAUGAUGUUUGGUUACAAAUUUGCAUCUGAUAUGAGAUUCUUAUGUUUAUUGUUUAAUUUUGUGGAAUUUUCUCAUGUGUUUAGUGUUAAAUUUAACUUUUGGUGCCUUGUUUUUAGAUUUUGGUGAAUGAAAUUUUCCCCCAUUGGUUUACAGGGAAGGAAUAAGCUUUGUGAAGGGAUUAGUUCAAUUAUUUUAAUGACAAU
rnacentral:lncRNA from 1 species